CUUGCCCACUCAAAAUGCCCAUUAUAAAACCCGGUGUUUGAGCUCCACGUCGACAUAAGCUUGCUUUGGUAAAGAAUCUCCUGAAGCGAAAAUAAUUUUAUUGAAACAUGAUGAAUGCGAAGAUUAUCGCUGUGUUGUUUGCAUGUUGCGUUCUGGCGAUUUUGGCUGGAUCAGCUGAUGCUGUCAAGUGUUAUGUGUGCAACACAGGGGACCCAGGUUGUGACGAUUCGUUUGAUUCUAACAAAAUGACAGCUGCAAAUAUGAAAAGCGGUUGUACGGCAUGCUCAAAAUCAAAGGGCAAAAUCCUUGGAAUUCAGGCCACAUCCAGAGAUUGCUCCCUAACAGCAGCGCCUUUUGACGGCUGUAAAUCACAGUCCGAGGCUGGCUUGAGUGGAAA